GUUUUUAAAGAGUUUUA
rnacentral:sRNA from 1 species